GAAGUGGAUGGUGGAUGGCUGAGCUCAUGCUGCCACCCAGAGGACUGUGGGCAUGAUGGAGAAAUGGGCUGCAGGAACCCCAUGGAGCUCAGCAAGGAGCAGUGCGCGGAGAUAUGGUGGGCAUAUUGGAUGAGAUGAGCUCCAGAGGUUCCCUACAACCCCAACCAUCCCAUGACCGUGUGGGGUUCUUUCCAAACCCAACCAUCCCAUGGUCCUAUAGUGUUCCUUCCAACCCCAACCAUCCCAUUAUCAUGUGAGGUUCCUUCCAACCCCAACCAUCCCAUGUUCCUAUGCGAUUCCUUCCAACCCCAACCAUCCCAUUAUUAUGUGAGGUUCCUUCCAACCCUAACCAUCCCAUUACCCAGUGGGGUUCCACCCAAACCCAACCAUCCCAUUAUCAUGUGAGGUUCCUUCCAACCCCAACCAUCCCAUGGUCUUAUAGUGUUCCUUCCAACCCCAACCAUCCCAUGAUACUAUGGAGUUCCUUCCAACCCCAACCAUCCUCUGACCCUGUGAGAUUCCUUCCAACCCCAACCAUCCCAUGGUCCUAUGGAGUUCCUUCCAACCCCAACCAUCCCACAACCCUGUGGGGCUCCUUCCAACCCAACCAUCCCAUGGUCUAAUAGUGUUCCUUCCAACCCCAACAAGUCCGUGGUCCUAUGGUGUUUCUUCCAACCCCAACCAUCCCAUGGUCUUGUGGGGCUCUCUCCAAUCCCAACCAUCCCAUGAUCCUACAAAGUUCCUUCCAACCCCAACCAUUCCAUGACCCUGUGGGGUUCCUUCCAACCCCAACCAUCCCAUGUUCCUGUGAGGUUCCACCCAACCAUAACCAUCCCAUUAUCAUGUGAGGUUCCUUCCAACCCCAACCAUCCUAUUAUCAUGUGAGAUUCCUCCAACCCCAACCAUCCCAUGGUCUUGUGGGGUUCUUUCCAAACCCAACCAUCCCAUGGUCCUAUAGUGUUCCUUCCAACCCCAACCAUCCCAUUAUCAUGUGAGGUUCCUUCCAACCCCAACCAUCCCAUGCUCCUGUGGGGUUCCACCUACCCCAACCAUCCCAUUAUCAUGUAAGAUUCUUUCCAACCCCAACCAUCCCAUGGUCUUGUGGGGUUCUUUCCAAACCCAACCAUCCCAUGGUCCUAUAGUGUUCCUUCCAACCCCAACCAUCCCAUUAUCAUGUGAGGUUCCUUCCAACCCCAACCAUCCCAUGUUCCUAUGCGAUUCCUUCCAACCCCAACCAUCCCAUUAUUAUGUGAGGUUCCUUCCAACCCUAACCAUCCCAUUACCCAGUGGGGUUCCACCCAAACCCAACCAUCCCAUUAUCAUGUGAGGUUCCUUCCAACCCCAACCAUCCCAUGGUCUUGUGGGGCUCUUUCCAACCCCAACCAUCCCAUGAUCCUAUAGUGUUUCUUCCAAUCCCAACCAUUCCAUGGUCCUGUGGGGCUCCUUCCAACCCCAACCAUCCCAUAUCCCUAUAGUGUUCCUUCCAACCCCAACCAUCCCAUGGCCCUAUGAAAUUCCUUCCAACCCCAACCAUCCCAUUAUCCUGUGAAGUUCCUUCCAACCCCAACCAUCCCAUGAUCCUAUAGUGUUCCUUCCAACCCCAACCAUCCCAUGGUCCUGUGGGGCUCCUUCCAACCCCAACCAUCCCAUGGCCCUAUGGUGUUCCUUCCAACCCCAACCAUCCCAUGGUCCUAUGAAGUUCCUACCAACCUCAACCAUCCCAUGGUCCUAUGGAGUUCCUUCCAACCCCAACCAUCCCACAACCCUGUGGGGCUCCUUCCAACCCAACCAUCCCAUGGUCUAAUAGUGUUCCUUCCAACCCCAACAAGUCCGUGGUCCUAUGGUGUUUCUUCCAACCCCAACCAUCCCAUGGUCUUGUGGGGCACUUUCCAAUCCCAACCAUCCCAUGAUCCUACGAAGUUCCUCUCAACCUCAACCAUUCCAUGACCCUGUGGGGUUCCACCCAACCCCAACCAUCCCAUUAUCAUGUGGGGUUCCACCCAACCCCCACCAUCCCAUUAUCAUGUGAGGUUCCUUCCAACCACAACCAUCCUAUUAUCAUGUGAGAUUCCUUCCAACCCCAACCACCCCAUGAUCCUAUGAAGUUCCUUCCAACCCCAACCAUCCCAUAUCCCUAUAGUGUUUCUUCCAAUCCCAAGCAUUCCAUGGUCCUGUGAGAUUCCUUCCAACCCCAACCAUCCCAUGAUCCUGAGAGGUUCCUUCCAACCCCAACCAUCCCAUGGCCCUAUGAAAUUCCUUCCAACCCCAACCAUCCCACGAUCCUGUGAGGUUCCUUCCAACCCCAACCAUCCCAUGGUCCUAUAGUGUUCCUUCCAACCCCAACCAUCCCAUGGUCCUAUGGUGUUCCUUCCAAUCCCAACCAUCCCAUGACCCCAUGCAAUUCCUUCCAACCCCAACCAUCCCAUGAUCCUGUGAGGUACCACCCAACCAUAACCAUCCCAUUAUCAUGUGAGGUUCCUUCCAACCCCAACCAUCCUAUUAUCAUGUGAGAUUCCACCCAACCCCAACCAUCCCAUGGUCUUGUGGGGCUCUUUCCAACCCCAACCAUCCCAUGAUCCUAUAGUGUUUCUUCCAAUCCCAACCAUUCCAUGGUCCUGUGAGAUUCCUUCCAACCCCAACCAUCCCAUGGCCCUAUGAAAUUCCUUCCAACCCCAACCAUCCCACGAUCCUGUGAGGUUCCUUCCAACCCCAACCAUUCCAAGGUCCUAUGAAGUUCCUUCCAACCCCAACCAUCCCAUGGUCCUACGAAGUUCCUUCCAACCCCAACCAUCCCAUUAUCAUGUGAGGUUCCUUCCAACCCCAACCAUCCCAUUACCCAGUGGGGUUCCACCCAAACCCAACCAUCCCAUUAUCAUGUGAGGUUCCUUCCAACCCCAACCAUCCCAUGGUCUUAUAGUGUUCCUUCCAACCCCAACCAUCCCAUGAUACUAUGGAGUUCCUUCCAACCCCAACCAUCCUCUGACCCUGUGAGAUUCCUUCCAACCCCAACCAUCCCAUGGUCCUAUGGAGUUCCUUCCAACCCCAACCAUCCCACAACCCUGUGGGGUUCCUUCCAACCCAACCAUCCCAUGGUCUAAUAGUGUUCCUUCCAACCCCAACAAGUCCGUGGUCCUAUGGUGUUUCUUCCAACCCCAACCAUCCCAUGGUCUUGUGGGGCUCUUUCCAAUCCCAACCAUCCCAUGAUCCUACAAAGUUCCUUCCAACCCCAACCAUUCCAUGACCCUGUGGGGUUCCACCCAACCCCAACCAUCCCAUUAUCAUGUGGGGUUCCACCCAACCCCCACCAUCCCAUUAUCAUGUGAGGUUCCUUCCAACCCCAACCAUCCUAUUAUCAUGUGAGAUUCCUUCCAACCCCAACCACCCCAUGAUCCUAUGAAGUUCCUUCCAACCCCAACCAUUCCAUAUCCCUAUAGUGUUUCUUCCAAUCCCAACCAUUCCAUGGUCCUGUGAGAUUCCUUCCAACCCCAACCAUCCCAUGAUCCUGAGAGGUUCCUUCCAACCCCAACCAUCCCAUGGCCCUAUGAAAUUCCUUCCAACCCCAACCAUCCCACGAUCCUGUGAGGUUCCUUCCAACCCCAACCAUUCCAAGGUCCUAUGAAGUUCCUUCCAACCCCAACCAUCCCAUGGUCCUAUGAAGUUCCUUCCAACCCCAACCAUCCCAUUAUCAUGUGAGGUUCCUUCCAACCCCAACCAUCCCAUUACCCAGUGGGGUUCCACCCAACCCCAACCAUCCCAUGGUCCUGUGGGGUUCCACCGCCCCAACCAUCCCUUUAUCAUGAGAAGUUCCUUCCAACCCCAACCAUCCCAUGACCCUGUGGGGCUCUUUCCAACCCCAACCAUCCCGUGGUCCUAUGGAGUUCCUUCCAACCCCAACCAUCCCACAACCCUGUGGGGCUCCUUCCAACCCAACCAUCCCAUGGUCUAAUAGUGUUCCUUCCAACCCCAACAAGUCUGUGGUCCUAUGGUGUUCCUUCCAACCCCAACCAUCCCAUGGUCUUGUGGGGCUCUUUCCAAUCCCAACCAUCCCAUGAUCCUACAAAGUUCCUUCCAACCCCAACCAUUCCAUGACCCUGUGGGGUUCCACCCAACCCCCACCAUCCCAUUAUCAUGUGAGGUUCCUUCCAACCCCAACCAUCCUAUUAUCAUGUGAGAUUCCUUCCAACCCCAACCAUCCCAUGGUCUUGUGGGGCUCUUUCCAACCCCAACCAUCCCAUGAUCCUAUAGUGUUUCUUCCAAUCCCAACCAUUCCAUGGUCCUGUGGGGUUCCUUCCAACCCCAACCAUCCCAUGAUCCUGAGAGGUUCAUUCCAACCCCAACCAUCCCAUGGCCCUAUGAAAUUCCUUCCAACCCCAACCAUCCCAUUAUCCUGUGAAGUUCCUUCCAACCCCAACCAUCCCAUAUCCCUAUAGUGUUCCUUCCAACCCCAACCAUCCCAUGAUCCUAUAGUGUUCCUUCCAACCCCAACCAUCCCAUGGUCCUGUGGGGCUCCUUCCAACCCCAACCAUCCCAUGGCCCUAUGGUGUUCCUUCCAACCCCAACCAUCCCAUGGUCCUAUGAAGUUCCUACCAACCUCAACCAUCCCAUGGUCCUAUGGAGUUCCUUCCAACCCCAACCAUCCCACGACCCUGUGGGGCUCCUUCCAACCCAACCAUCCCAUGGUCUAAUAGUGUUCCUUCCAACCCCAACAAGUCCGUGGUCCUAAGGUGUUUCUUCCAACCCCAACCAUCCCAUGGUCUUGUUAGGCUCUUUCCAACCCCAACCAUCCCAUGAUCCUAUGAAGUUCCUCUCAACCUCAACCCCCCCCUGACCCCGUGGGGUUCCACCCAACCCCAACCAUCCCAUUAUCAUGUGGGGUUCCACCCAACCCCCACCAUCCCAUUAUCAUGUGAGGUUCCUUCCAACCCCAACCACCCCAGGAUCCUAUGAAGUUCCUUCCAACCCCAACCAACCCAUGAUCCUAUGAAGUUCCUUCCAACCCCAACCAUCCCAUUAUCAUGUGAGGUUCCUUCCAACCCUAACCAUCCCAUUACCCAGUGGGGUUCCACCCAAACCCAACCAUCCCAUUAUCAUGUGAGGUUCCUUCCAACCCCAACCAUCCCAUGGUCUUAUAGUGUUCCUUCCAACCCCAACCAUCCCAUGAUCCUGUGGGGUUCCACCCAACACCAACCAUCCCAUGGUUCCUUCCAACGCCAAACAUUCCAUGAUCCUAUGAAGUUCCUUCCAACCCCAACUAUCCCACGACCCAGUGAGGUUCCUUCCAACCAUCCCAUGACCCCAUGCAAUUCCUUCCAACCCCAACCAUCCCAUGAUCCUAUGAAGUUCCUUCCAACCCCAACCAUCCCAUGGUCCUGUGGGGCUCCUUCCAACCCCAACCAUCCCAUGGUCCUGUGAGGUUCCUUCCAACCCCAACCACCCCAUGAUCCUAUGAAGUUCCUUCCAACCCCAACCAUCCCAUAUCCCUAUAGUGUUUCUUCCAAUCCCAACCAUUCCAUGGUCCUGUGAGAUUCCUUCCAACCCCAACCAUCCCACGAUCCUGUGAGGUUCCUUCCAACCCCAACCAUUCCAAGGUCCUAUGAAGUUCCUUCCAACCCCAACCAUCCCAUGGUCCUAUGAAGUUCCUUCCAACCCCAACCAUCCCAUGGUCUUGUGGGGCUCUUUCCAAUCCCAACCAUCCCAUGAUCCUACGAAGUUCCUUCCAACCCCAACCAUCCCAUUACCCAGUGGGGUUCCACCCAACCCCAACCAUCCCAUUAUCAUGUGAGAUUCCUUCCAACCCCAACCAUCCCAUGACCCUGUGGGGCUCUUUCCAACCCCAACCAUCCCGUGGUCCUAUGGAGUUCCUUCCAACCCCAACCAUCCCACAACCCUGUGGGGCUCCUUCCAACCCAACCAUCCCAUGGUCUAAUAGUGUUCCUUCCAACCCCAACAAGUCCGUGGUCCUAUGGUGUUUCUUCCAACCCCAACCAUCCCAUGGUCUUGUGGGGCUCUUUCCAACCCCAACCAUCCCAUGAUCUUGUGAGGUUCCUUCCAACCCCAACCAUUCCAUGGUCCUAUAGUGUUCCUUCCAACCCCAACCAUCUCCUGACCCUUUGGGGUUCCUUCCAACCCCAACCAUCCCAUGAUCCUAUGAAGUUCCUUCCAAUCCCAACUAUCCCACGACCCCAUGCAAUUCCUUCCAACCCCAACCACCCCAUGACCCCGUGAGGUUCCUUCCAACCAUCCCAUGACCCCAUGCAAUUCCUUCCAACCCCAACCAUCCCAUGGUCCUAUGGUGUUUCUUCUAACCCCAACCAUCCCAUGAUCCUGUGAGAUUCCUUCCAACCCCAACCAUUCCAUGGUCUUGUGGGGCUCUUUCCAACCCCAAACAAUCCCAUGACCCUGUGAGGUUCCUUCCAACCCCAACUAUCCAACAACCGUGUGGGGUUCCUUCCAACCCCAACCAUCCCACCACCCCGUGAGGUUCCUUCCAACCAUCCCAUGGUCCUAUGGUGUUCCUUCCAACCCCAACCAUCCCAUUAUCAUGUGAGGUUCAUUCCAAACCCAACCAUCCCAUGGCCUUGUGGGGCUCUUUCCAACCCCAACCAUCCCAUGAUUCUAUGAAGUUCCUUCCAACCCCAACCAUCCCAUGGUCCUAUGCGAUUCUUUCCAACCCCAACCAUCCCAUGAUCCUGAGAGGUUCCUUCCAACCCCAACCAUCCCAUGGUCCUAUGGUAUUCCUUCCAACCCCAACCAUUCCACAACCCUGUGGGGCUCCUUCCAACCCCAACCAUCCCAUGGUCCUGUGAGGUACCUUCCAACCCCAACCAUCCCACGACCCUGUGGGGCUCUUUCCAACCCCAACCAUCCCAUGAUCCUCUGAAGUUCCUUCCAACCUCAACCAUCCCCUGACCCUGUGAGAUUCCUUCCAACCCCAACCAUCCCGUGGUCCUAUGGUUUUCCUUCCCACCCCAACCAUUCCAUGGUCCUGUGAGGUUCCUUCCAACCAUCGCCUGACCCUGUCCGAUUCCUUCCAACCCCAACCAUCCCAUGAUCCCACGAGUCACCACCAGAUGGCUGCUGACCCACAGCGUUUCCCACAGCAUCCACU
ensembl:lncRNA